rfam:Pachysolen tannophilus NRRL Y-2460 unplaced genomic scaffold PACTA_scaffold_6, whole genome shotgun sequence.
GCCUCUUUGGCCCAGUGGUAAGGCACCUCACUCGUAAUGAGGCGAUCGUCGGUUCGAUUCCGACAAGAGGCA